GGGUAGUUUGACUGGGGCGGUCUCCUCCCAAAGAGUAACGGAGGAGCACGAAGGUGGGCUAAUCACGGUUGGACAUCGUGAGGUUAGUGCAAUGGCAUAAGCCCGCUUAACUGCGAGAAUGACGGUUCGAGCAGGUGCGAAAGCAGGUCAUAGUGAUCCGGUGGUUCUGUAUGGAAGGGCCAUCGCUCAACGGAUAAAAGGUACUCCGGGGAUAACAGGCUGAUACCGCCCAAGAGUUCAUAUCGACGGCGGUGUUUGGCACCUCGAUGUCGGCUCAUCACAUCCUGGGGCUGAAGUCGGUCCCAAGGGUAUGGCUGUUCGCCAUUUAAAGUGGUACGCGAGCUGGGUUUAGAACGUCGUGAGACAGUUCGGUCCCUAUCUGCCGUGGGCGUUGGAAGAUUGAAGGGGGCUGCUCCUAGUACGAGAGGACCGGAGUGGACGAACCUCUGGUGUUCGGGUUGUGUCGCCAGACGCAUUGCCCGGUAGCUAAGUUCGGAAUUGAUAAGCGCUGAAAGCAUCUAAGCGCGAAGCGAGCCCUGAGAUGAGUCUUCCCUGAUACUUUAAGUAUCCUAAAGGGUUGUUCGAGACUAGAACGUUGAUAGGCAGGGUGUGUAAGCGUUGUGAGGCGUUGAGCUAACCUGUACUAAUUGCCCGUGAGGCUUAACCAUACAACACCCA
rnacentral:rRNA from 1 species